CAGCUUGUUGGUGGGGUAACGGCCUACCAAGGCAUCGACGGGUAGCUGGUCUGAGAGGAUGAUCAGCCACACUGGGACUGAGACACGGCCCAGACUCCUACGGGAGGCAGCAGUGGGGAAUCUUGCGCAAUGGGCGAAAGCCUGACGCAGCAACGCCGCGUGCGGGAAGAAGGCUCUCGGGUUGUAAACCGCUUUCAGAAGGAACGAAACUGACGGUACUUUCAGAAGAAGGUGCGGCCAACUACGUGCCAGCAGCCGCGGUGACACGUAGGCACCAAGCGUUGUCCGGAUUUAUUGGGCGUAAAGAGCUCGUAGGCGGUUCAGUAAGUCAGGUGUGAAAUCUUUGGGCUUAACCCAAAGCGUGCACUUGAUACUGCUGUGACUUGAGUUCGGUAGGGGAGUGGGGAAUUCCUAGUGUAGCGGUGAAAUGCGCAGAUAUUAGGAGGAACACCGGUGGCGAAGGCGCCACUCUGGGCCGAAACUGACGCUGAGGAGCGAAAGCGUGGGUAGCAAACAGGAUUAGAUACCCUGGUAGUCCACGCCGUAAACGUUGGGCACUAGGUGUGGGUUCCAACCAACGGAAUCC
rnacentral:rRNA from 1 species